rnacentral:rRNA from 1 species
ACGGGGGUGGCAAGCGUUGUCCGGAAUCACUAGGCGUAAAGGGCAGGUAGGCGGAAAUGUAAGUCAGAUGUCAAAGACCGAAGCUCAACUUCGGGUCGGCAUUUGAUACUGUGUUUCUUGAAUCAGUUGGGAGAAGAUGGAAUUCCAGGUGUAGCGGUGGAAUGCGCAGAUAUCUGGAGGAACACCAAUAGCGAAGGCAAUCUUCUACGACAUGAUUGACGCUAAACUGCGAAGGUGCGGGGAUCAAACAG